UGUCCCAUUUUAGUACCACUUUUUCAUUCCCUAGAAUAAGUGGCUAUGCUAAUGGGAUAGAUCAAUAUCUGUUAUUGUCUGAAGGGGUAGAUAUCUUCAUCUUCCCAUAAAUUAAAUAACAGAACAUGUUUCG